rnacentral:rRNA from 1 species
AUUGGGUCGUUCGAACCCAAAGGCGGAAUCAAAGUGAAGGGUAACCCCUUUCGCUUACCUCAGGGAGGAUGGGCGCGUCCUGCCCUAGCGGCGGUGCCCCGCACUCCCGGGGCGUUUCUCACUCAUCGCGAGUCGAGGCGCACCCAGAGCGUACACGUUAGGACCCGAAAGAUGGUGAACUAUGCCCGGCCAGGACGAAGCCAGGGGAAACCCUGGUGGAGGUCCGUAGCGAUUCUGACGUGCAAAUCGAUCGUCGGAGCUGGGUAUAGGGGCGAAAGACUAAUCGAACCAUCUAGUAGCUGGUUCCUUCCGAAGUUUCCCUCAGGAUAGCUGGUGCCCGGGUGAGACGAGUCUCAUCCUGUAAAGCGAAUGAUUAGAGGCAUUGGGGGUCGAAACGACCUCAACCUAUUCUCAAACUUUAAAUAGAUGAGAACUCCGGCUUGCUUGGAAUUGACGGUUGAAGCCGGAGACUCGGAUCAGGGUGCCCAGUGGGCCAAUUUUGGUAAGCAGAACUGGCGCUGUGGGAUGAACCAAACGCCGAGUUAAGGCGCCCGAAUCGACGCUCAUCGGAACCCAUGAAAGGCGUUGGUCGCUUAAGACAGCAGGACGGUGGCCAUGGAAGUCGGAAUCCGCUAAGGAGUGUGUAACAACUCACCUGCCGAAGCGACUAGCCCUGAAAAUGGAUGGCGCUGUAGCGUCGUGCCUAUACUCGGCCGUCAACGGCCGACCGGGCGGCCCGCUCCCGAGCGGGACGCGCCGUUACGCCUUGACGAGUAGGAAGGCCGCGGCGAUGAGCGCUGAAGGGUCUGGGCGAGAGCCCGCCUGGAGCCGUCGCCGGCGCAGAUCUUGGUGGUAGUAGCAAAUACUCCAGCGAGGCCCUGGAGGACUGAUGUGGAGAAGGGUUUCUUGUGAACAGCUGUUGCACAAGAGUCAGUCGAUCCUAAGCCCUAGGAGAAAUCCGAUGUUGAUGGGUCGCCGUUAACGCUGAUGGCCAGCCGCGAGGACGACCGCUCACCCGUCGAGAGGCGGUGGCGAGGAGUCGACUCUAGUCAGCGCGCCGCGGUCGUCGGGCGUCUGUCUCCGCGCGUGCCGCGCUGCCGUAUUUUCGGCGAGCGCGCCGCGGAGCCGGGCGACCCGUUCGACCCGCUGUCGCCGCGCGACUAAGUCACUCCUGCAAUCACCGCCUCUCCGGAGGUCGUCCCCUGCGCGCCGUUAAAACCGUGUCGGCGCCCGUCGGGCGAAAGGGAAUCCGGUUCCUAUUCCGGAACCCGGCAGCGGAACCGUUCCGAAUCGGGCCCUCGUACGAGUGCUCGUCGGGGUGACCCAAAAAGACCCGGAGACGCCGCCGGGAGAUCCGGGGAGAAGUUGUCUCUUCUCUAUAAGCGUUCGAGUUCCCUGGAAACCUCUAGCAGGGAGAUAGGGUUUGGAACGCAAAGAGCACCGCAGUUACGGCGGUGUCCGGAUCUUCCCCGCGGACCUUGAAAAUCCGGGAGAGGGCCACGAGGAACACCGCGCCGGCUCGUACCCAUAUCCGCAGCAGGUCUCCAAGGUGAAUAGCCUCUAGUCGGUAGAAUAAUGUAGGUAAGGGAAGUCGGCAAAUCGGAUCUGUAACUUCGGGAUAAGGAUUGGCUCUGGGGAUCGUGGCGAGCCGGGCUUGGUCGGGAAGUGGAGCCGCGCCAACGAGCCGGGCCUGGGCGAGGUGAGCNNNNNNNNNNNNNNNNNUUGUUCCCCGCCAUAGGGAACGUGAGCUGGGUUUAGACCGUCGUGAGACAGGUUAGUUUUACCCUACUGAUGGACUAGUCUUUGCAAUAGUAAUCCUGCUCAGUACGAGAGGAACCGCAGGUUCGGACACUUGGUUCACGCACUCGGUCGACAGGCCGGUGGUGCGACGCUACCGUCCGUGGGAUUAUGCCUGAACGCCUCUAAGGCCGAAUCCCCUCUAGGACGCAACGAUAUCAACUAGGGGUCCCGUGAGUCGAAAGGCUCAAAACAAUGUGACUUACUUAGGCGGUCCCUGUUUAAAGUACCAGGGCCGUCGCACGAGCCUGGUGGCCGGUGUUUCGUCUCGCGAGCGGUCCCGGGAUUAUCCGGACGGUCGCGGCGUGACGCUCGCCGGCGUAACUUUGGCUGCCCCGAAAGGGGAGUUCGAUGUCGGGACUCGGAAUCGUCUGCAGACGACUUAAGUGCCGAGCAGGGUGUUGUACUCGGGAGAGAG